UCCUUUAUUCUCUGAAUCCCCACUGGCCAGGAGUCAGAGAACCAAGCAGGGACAAGAACACUGUAGGAGAAUCUGGCCCCAUUUAAUCCGCAGUACCCUGCCAGAAAAAGAAGGAGAGGCUGAUCCCCAGUAAGAGGGAACAGAGUGGCACCCACAAAUACGGAAUGAAGACAUUUGGAGAAGAAGCGUUUACUGAAAGGAGAUUCCUGGGCUGGAGGAAAACCAUGAUCUACAGUUCAUGUUGACAGAUAUUGUAUUUUUGGUCCUAGAUCUGACUUUUGAAAUGACUUAUCACAAAUUCAAAUUUAGCAAUCAUGAGUGAAGUACCCACGAUGUGCUAAGCAUCUACCUCUGCAGAUAGAAGAACACUUACUGUUCCUGAGCAUGGGAGGGAAUAGAAGUUCCUGGGUCCUGGCCUCACCUCAUCAGGCACUGCCAAAUUUGACACCUCCUUCCUGUUCACGGCAGUCCUUUGCGAUAGGGUAUUAGAUGCCACCAAGUAGCUGCAUAACUCACCCAUUUGGUCAGAGCCUGGGUCUAAGCCAGGUCUGACAGACUCCAAAGCAAGCCCUGUUUACAGCAUGACUGGGAUCCAGUGGACGAGGGAACUGAGCUGUCAAAACUAAGUGACUUGAUUGAGGCCAUGCAGCUGGCGAGGGGAGGACCAGGAUCUGAACCCAACUGGGUCUCCCAAGCCUGGGCCACUGAACCAUUUCACCUCUUGGAAAAACUUAAUGGUCAGAGUGGCCCACCCAGUCCAUGGACAGCAUGGAGGUAAUGAACUUUAAUCAGAAACUUAUUGUGCAUUGACUGAGCAUUUAUUCUUUUAAGACAAUAUGUUUGGAUGUCUUUGGUUGUACAGAAUUCAAAUUAUUAAUAAUGUUCACAAAAGUUGCCCUGUAUUUUUAUGCUGAAAUACAACAAAAUGUCAACUUGGUUCCAGUGACCUUUAUACCGUACAUAUUAUGUUUAUUGUAGUUCUGUAUUGUAGCUAAAUUUAUUAUCUAACUUGUUGAUGCCAAUAAGCUGAUGCAUAUGAAAGGUACCUGCAAAAAAA
rnacentral:lncRNA from 1 species